CGGGUGAGUAACGCGUGGAAACCUAGCCGUAUACUGGGGGAUAACACUUAGAAAUAGGUGCUAAUACCGCAUAAGCGCACAGCUUCGCAUGAAGCAGUGUGAAAAACUCCGGUGGUAUACGAUGGUUCCGCGUCUGAUUAGCUAGUUGGUGAGGUAAAAGCCCACCAAGGCGACGAUCAGUAGCCGGCCUGAGAGGGUGAACGGCCACAUUGGGACUGAGACACGGCCCAGACUCCUACGGAAGGCAGCAG
rnacentral:rRNA from 1 species